rnacentral:lncRNA from 1 species
CAAUAACACAAAUAACAAACCACUUCUUUUAAUGUUUUAUACAUGUUAUUGUUUUCAGAUUUCCGCUUUUGCUAGAAAAAUUAUAAAAACUUUAGAAUUAUUUACUAUUACCUUCAAAUUAAUGCACGUUUCGAACAUACUUUUUUAGUUUCACUAGCGACAAUUGGGGUUUCAUAAAAAAACAAGAGCGAUGAGUCAUAAGAUCGACAUUUAUAAAAGCUAAAUUUAAAAAAAAAUCGUAUUCGAUUAAGAAACUAAACAUGUUGUUCUGUUUUCUCAGGGGAAAAGAUGAAAUUAAAAUAAAAGUUUAAUGAGUAUUUUUAUUAUAAAGUCAAAUAUUAAUGGACGAUUACUAUAAGACUUCUGUAUUACCGACUAAGAUGCUUUGUAUAGUUUCUGCCGUGUAGAAAUCCUGUUAAGAGCAGUGCAUGGCAUUUUAGCGGACGUUUUUAAUUGUUUGUGUUUUUGGUUGUGUUUUCUGUAUUUGCAUUGAUAGUUGUUUUAUAUCCAUACAAUGUUCUAUUACAUCUGUAAAAUAUGGUUAGUUAAAUACAACUGUAUUCUCCGACAAAGAUUUUAUAUAAAUGUAUAUUACUUUUUCUUUUUUGUUAUUUUUCUUAAAAUAUAAGUAUGUACCAUAGCUGUUUGUUUAGUCAGUUCACUAAAACAUGUCUUGCAUUUACUGCUAGAAAAAAACCACUAUGUUUAAAUGUCACGUACAAUCUACACCUCAACUAAGAGAAAGACAGAGAUUGUUUUCCUGGUCUGCUAAUCCAUACAUCAGCCAAGUAUUCUAUCUCUGUUUGAUUCACAAUGUUUUUUUUUUCAUCUUUUUGGUCAGUUUAUUUUCGAUCUUUGAGUUUGACUGUCCCUCUUGUAUCUUUCGCCCCUCUUUUCUAAUAUUUUUAUAUACACACAAUUACAUGUGGGUUGUUAAAUUUUAAAUAAAUUAUGUAACUGUUCUUUUUUAAUCUCAUUUAUUGGUAAAUUUAAAGUUUCUUAUAUAUCUGUUUCUUUUUGGAAUCCAAUUAUUGUUUAUUAUGAAUUAUAUCACAUACUGAUGAUAAAAUUAGUCGUAAAAGUUGUGGAUAUGCCCAUGGUUGAAAACCAAAUUAUAUCAGUACUUAUAUUCGUGUUUAAUAAAUAACAUCCCCC